ensembl:lncRNA
ACAAGAAUGGCCUUUGCAACUGACCAAAACGAAAAGGUUUCGGUCCAGUGUCGGGAUAACCCAUAUGGAUUUAAUGGUGUGGUGGUGUAUGGGGAUGAAUCCUACGGCAUGACCUUAGGAUAUAUCCCAGAUAUGACUGGCUACAAUCAAUACCUAACUAGACGUGGAAAUGACUUCAGUGCUGGAGUCGUUAAUGCAGACGAUCUCAAUGAUGCUCAAUCAUCUCCUCAAAUGCUGCCAGUGAAUGUUUCAGUGACCAUAUCUGGUAUGACGGCUCCAAUGAACACUCGCAACCAACUAGGAGCUCGUCACAUGGACCCAUACUUCACUUAUGGGAAUGCAUUAGCACCCGUUUAUGGAUGGGGAGGGAACAGGUAUCAGCUUUGGGACAGAGAUGAGCAACACGAGGAGGAAGAGAGGGAUUCUCGUCUUAAGGGGGAAAAGAAGAAAGCAGGAAGAAGGAGGAGGAAAAGAUCCCGUCAUGCUGGUCAUUAGAAGGGCUAAAGAUCUGACCAGCAUGUUAAUAAAUAAAUAAACCAUUUUAAUUCCA